UGCGCAGGCGGUUUUUUAAGACAGGCGUGAAAUUCCCGGGCUCAACCUGGGAAUGGCGCUUGUGACUGGAAGGCUAGAGUUCUGUAGAGGGGGGUAGAAUUCCAGGUGUAGCGGUGAAAUGCGUAGAGAUCUGGAGGAAUACCGAUUGCGAAGGCAGCCCCCUGGACAGUGACUGACGCUCAUAUGCGAAAGCGUGGGGAUCAAACAGGAUUAGAUACCCGUGUA
rnacentral:rRNA from 1 species